UGGCGUCGCUGGACAUGGACUGCUGCUCGUCCGGCUGGCCGUGCACCGAGGCGGCCGAGGCCGCCGCGUUGACGCUCGCCGAAGAGUUGAAGAGCGAAUGCUCGCCGCUGUAGUCGUCGUUGGGUGAGGAGUCCAUGAAGGCCCCAGUCAUGACUGGGAUCUGGAAGCACAAAAAGAUUCAACUCGAUUAGAUUUUAGGCAAAGUCUUUAUGAAACACAGCAGAACCAGUAAAAUAUAUCAAAUUAAGUUUGAUUUUUCCACAUAGCUUUUAUUGAAGAUGAUCUGUUAGCUCUGCCUCUCAAAGCCACUCAGGCUUUUCACACCUUAGCAGAAAAUUGGCAAAGUUUGUAAUGGAAACACAGAUAGUUUGUGUAACACUGAUCAUUCAUUCUGAACCCAAAAUGAAAACCACAAAAGGUUUAGCAGACUUUUAACAGGAAGUAGCUGUUUACUCAGCAGAGACGGUUUUACUGGGGAUUGUUUCGCCUGCAGGACCGGACAGACAGAAACCAGGAGCGGAGAAGCUGCGGAGCAGGAACACCUCCAGCCAGUUAAAGCUCCGAUGAAACGACGGAGGGAUAAAACAGAUUUCCUGUUGCGUCAGAAAGGCGACAGAACAGAGAGGAUUUAUGGAAAACUGAGCAAGGCACCAAAACCAGCCGAAACCUCGACAUCCAGGUCGUAGAAAUGUUGAAAGUAGAGGAAGAGUCUAACAACAGCCUGGAUCUGCCUGACUUGUUCAUCAGUAAUCAUGGAGGACGUCAGGAAAUAUGAUGAAGAUCAACGACGGCGUCUUCAGAAUCACCUGCAGCCUCACAGGAACUAUAAAUGGAGUUUGGACGCCUGGGGACGGAUUUGUCCAAACACCCUGGAGAGGACAAAGAGAGGCAGAAGGAUAAUUUGACGCAGACGAUGGAGAAACAGAGCAGAUGGACCAGGAAGUGAUGUAACGGCUGAACUGUUUGUUUGUUCAUGAUGACUGACUGGAAGGAGACAAACAGUUGGAUCAAAGUUUUCUCUGAAGGCAGCAUCUGGCUUGUGUUUCAUAUUUUGGAGCCGCCUGGAAGUAAAAUGUCGCUUUGCCCCUGAGGUCUGCUGGUUAGUCCUGUGAGUUUUUGAGACGUGGAGUUUGAGUUGACCUCUGCAUGAAAA